GUAAAGGCCCUUUUCAGGGCCACUCACAAUUUGAUUUAAAUUUUGU
rfam:Schistosoma mansoni, Puerto Rico, WGS project CABG01000000 data, contig: 0142